GAUCAUGGCUCAGGACGAACGUUGGCGGCGUGCUUAACACAUGCAAGUCGAACGAGAGGACAAGAGAAGCUUGCUUCUUUUGGAAUCGAGUGGCAAACGGGUGAGUAACACGUAAACAACCUGCCUUCAGGAUGGGGACAACAGACGGAAACGACUGCUAAUACCGAAUACGCUUGGGAGACCGCAUGAUCUACCAAGGAAAGGGUGGCCUCUACCUGUAAGCUAUCGCCUGAAGAGGGGUUUGCGU
rnacentral:rRNA from 1 species